rnacentral:rRNA from 1 species
AUUGAACGCUGGCGGAAUGCUUUACACAUGCAAGUCGAACGGCAGCACGGACUUCGGUCUGGUGGCGAGUGGCGAACGGGUGAGUAAUACAUCGGAACGUGCCCAGUCGUGGGGGAUAACGUAGCGAAAGCUACGCUAAUACCGCAUACGAUCUAAGGAUGAAAGCGGGGGAUCGCAAGACCUCGCGCGAUUGGAGCGGCCGAUGGCAGAUUAGGUAGUUGGUAGGGUAAAGGCCUACCAAGCCGACGAUCUGUAGCUGGUCUGAGAGGACGACCAGCCACACUGGGACUGAGACACGGCCCAGACUCCUACGGGAGGCAGCAGUGGGGAAUUUUGGACAAUGGACGCAAGUCUUAUCCAGCCAUUCCGCGUGCAGGAUGAAGGCCCUCGGGUUGUAAACUGCUUUUGUACAGAACGAAAAAGCUCUGGUUAAUACCUGGAGCUCAUGACGGUACUGUAAGAAUAAGCACCGGCUAACUACGUGCCAGCAGCCGCAGUAA